AAUGUAGGCUGUUUUGCAAGUCAGUGGUGAAAUCCCUCAGCUUAACUGAGGAAGUGCCUUUGAAACUGCAUAACUAGAGGACAGGAGAGGAAAGUGGAAUUCCCGGUGUAGCGGUGGAAUGCGUAGAUAUCGGGAGGAACACCAGAGGCGAAGGCGGCUUUCUGGACUGAUCCUGACGCUGAGAUUCGAAAGCUAGGGGAGCAAACAGGAUUAGAUACCCUGGUAGUCC
rnacentral:rRNA from 1 species